AAAUAAUUAGAGCUAGACUAAAAAACGGCCCAUAAUCUAGCCCAACAAACCGCAGUCCCAACCAGGCCCAAAUCUGUUCGUCUGGCUCAACUUCCCGCGCUUUUCUCCUACCUCAUCAGAUGAUCUUCCCUUCAAUCAAUUCGGUGAAGACCAGAAAAUUAAAACCCUAGCUUUUACAAUGGAAAUUGGUGAAGAUAGAAGCGAUCUCGAGAAAGAAGGAGAAGAACAAGAAGAAGAAGAAGAAGACUCAGUUUUCGAUCUCUUGAGAGAUCGGUUUCGACUCUCCGCAAUUUCCAUCGCCGAAGCCGAAGCGAAGAGAAACGGUAUGGAAAUUUCUGAACCGAUAGUAGCUUGUAUUGCCGAUUUGGCCUUCAAAUACACAGCUGUUUGAAUCGCAGGACAGCUGGCAAAGGACCUUGAACUAUUUGCACAGCAUGCUGGUCGUAAAUCUGUGAAAAUGGAAGAUGUCAUAGUUUCUGCUCAUAGGAAUGAACACUUAGCUGCCGUAUUGAUGUCCUUCCGCAAUAAGCUUAAAGCAAAAGAACCCCAAUCUGAAAGGAAGAGGAAGAAAGGAUCUAGAAAGGAAGACAAAGCUACUGACAGUGUGGUGCAUGUUCCUGAUGCUUGAUUCUGGAUUUCUAUUGAUAGGGAAGUUCUCAUGGCAUGUUAUGGAUAAGCAACUCUAUCUGCAUAUUAAUAUUGGUCAUUACUUAUAGCCAAUACACAUUAAAGCUUCCAGAAAUAUGUAAAACUUAUCUUGAAAGGUAAUUCUAGUUGUACUAUAAUCUAUCACUAAUUGCCCGUCAAUGUCGAAUUUAUGUAUCCUUCUGGUUUUUCUGCAUGAAACUUUAUAUGUGCUGA